rnacentral:lncRNA from 1 species
GGGGACCCGGGUGGUGCCCACUGAGCAAGGGCGUGCAGGGGCUUCCAGGACUAGGGGCCGGUCUCUCCCGGCAAACCCCGAGAGCCAGGCCCUGGGACAUGAAAGCCUCCCCCUCCACCACAGCACGUAAAUGCCAUCGGAAAACCCUCCGAACAUCAUCUCCCCUCCAGCCACAGGCCCAUCUCCCUCUGCCAAUCUUCUGGUCUUGAUGCACCGUUCUUUCAUCACUGGAUUCAAGUCACUACUAGUCUGGGAUUUUUCCAUGUCUGCGCUGUGGGACACUGGCACUGAGCAGCCCACAACAGACCCUCGUGUACUCUGCGGUCUCACGCCUCUGAGGACAGACGGACCGACCAAGGCAGAAACCCGAACAGGAGCGUGCCGCAGCGGCGUUAGCAGGGGUGUGCGGCGGGUGGGAGGGGCCGCCAGCCGGGCAGGGCCGCAGGGCCGCGCACACUUCCUGUCUGUGUUCGCUUCCUUGGUUUUGCCUUUAAAAGUUCAUUCUGUUUUAAAGAGGUUUGCGUUGGAACGCUUGUUUUAAACAAGGGGGAAACGCCUUCCACGUGUAACACUUCUGGGUCUUUCUUUAGUGAAGAUCAGUUUCCACCUGGUGUCACUUUCCUUGGGCCCAGACAUUUCUUGUAGGGCAAGGCUGCUGGAGAUUCCUUCAGCUUUCAUUUGUCUGGAAAAGGAAGGUCGACUUUGACUUGACUUUUGUAUUGUGAAUGGAGAAUGUUAAGCUGACCCGUUUUUCCCUUUCAAUCCUUUAUAAAGAUGUCACGCAGCACUGCCUCCUGGCUGGCAUCAUUCCUUGGUGAGAAGUCAGCUGCCCUUCCCUUGUUCACCUGUAUAUAAUGUGUCUGGUUUUUACUGCUUUUAAGCUUUUAUUCGUCAUUGGUUUUUAUCAACUCACGAUGUGGUCUGGAGGAGGUUUUGGUUUGGGCAUGUUUGGUCCGUGUGAUUAGUCUGUGUCUGCUGAGCAUCACAGAUCUAUGGGCUUAUAUAUUCCAUAUCUGGAAAACUUUCAGCCAUGACUACUCAGAUGUUUUUCUGCCUCCCUCCCACCCCAUUCGGUGAGACUCCAACUAUACAUACGCAUGUUGGACCUUGCAAGAUCAUCCAACGGGUCACUGGCAAUUUUUUUUUAAAGUACUCUAGCCACCAUGGGCCGUUUCAGUGCUCACCUGUGCCUGGAUGGCCCAAGAACAGCCCCCACUCCUGUACCCUCCCAAAACCAGAGGGGGCAUCAGAGACACGGGAUCUCCGGCCCACUGCACCUCUCUCCCACAAAAGGCCUGGUUGUGGGGAAGGUGUCUGAGGCUGCCUGAAGCCACACAAACUAGCUGUUCUCCAGCUGUCUCCAGCAUGCGCUUCAGACACCCCCUGGCCAUCGCUGUCCCCGGAGGAAGGCUGGGAAUCACCCAUGAGGAGUCAUCAUGGAGAAACUAAUGGGUGAAUUAUUUUCACUGAAAAAAAACAGGUAACCUUAAGUUAUCCGUCUCACCCUCGUCCUCCUGAGCGGUGAAAGGGGGUCUCUGGGACAGCACCCAAAAUCACAGGUGAAAACGCCAGGCACAAAGCUAACACGCCACGGAGGGGCCUGGUGCUCUCCAGAGCAGCAUCCUCAACUUCCUGCCACUGCCACCUGUGUGGGGGACUAUGGUGGCAUCCCGCUGCGAGCAGACGCCCUGUGGGGGGUGCUGUGACCCACCCACAACCAGCGAGACCAGCAUCUCCCCAGCUACUGGGGCUGUCCUGUGUAAGCCCCGGCCACCUCCUAGAAAGCUGAGCACCAAAGCUGAGGCCGUAAGAACAAACCGAUCCAACCCGGCCGCGCCUGUACUCCCCUCUGCUCCUGUUUCUACCUUCAAUUCCUUUUUCAACCAAAGUGAAUUGAGAAUAAAAAUUUACAUUGCAAAUGGAGACAAAGAUAAAUCAAGCUGACCAAUUCAUCUAUAAUUAGCAUAUCUGCAGAGAUAAGAAAAGAAUGAAGAAGCAACAAUGGAUAGCAUUAAUUUUUUAACACUUUAUUGCCUAAAUAAAAUUUAAAUAUAUGUAGCAAUAUUGAUUAGGUUCAGUAAGGAAAAUUACUUUCUUAGAGUUGAAUUUACACUGUGAGUGAAGGGUUUAUAGUUAGAGAAUUCCUCAAAGGGAAGGUUUAAGGUUUACAUUUGGUGAAUACAGAAAAUGUAAUAUGGCUGCAGCAAAAAUUUCCCAGUAAAUACUCAAAAUCUGUUCCCAGUAACCAAAAAUAAUUUGAAUUCAAGCAUCUUUGCUGAUUCGCCCAGGAAAGAGAAGCUGAUGUUUUCAUCUGAAGUACAGCUGACGCACCAGGCUGUGCUGGCUGCAGGUGCACCACAGGGGUUCAGCCAGUCAGCGUGGUCACCGCCCAGCGUGACUGCUCGGUCCCAGGCUCUAUGCCUCACGCCGUACUGUCACGUGACCGGCACAUUUAUAACUGGAAGUUUGUACGCUCGUGCCCCUUCUCCUGUUUCACUCAUCUCCCAUCCUCUCCCCUCUGGCAACGACCAGUUUGUUCUGUAUUUUAUGAGUUUGUUUCUGUUCUGUUUUAUUGAGAGCGUGAUUUUUAAUUAGGCUGAAGCACAUAAUUCCGUUCAAAUAACGACAUACACCUGCUCACCUUCAAGCACCCACUCAUCCCCUGGAAACUCCAGGUCUGUGACUGUUCCCAAGAUGAGACAGAACACGUGUGAUGUGCUCGUGUCCGUCCGUCACGGAGCCACCCCCAGAAGUGACGCUUGAAGGAUUAAAGUAGGUUUCCAUUUCUUGGGUUUGACCCAGUGAUCUGGCCGCCUGGAGGUCUCUCGGGAGCAGACCGUGCUCAGUCACCACUGGUGGUGCUGCUGCCCCCGCUGGGGGAGAACAGGGCCAAUAAAAGAAGUGCAAGAGCAAACCGAUAGAUUGCAAGGGGACCCAACAGUUCCUUCGGCCAAAAUAAACCCGAGUUUAAAAACGGGGGAAAGUGCUGACACUCAGUAGGUCC